rnacentral:lncRNA from 1 species
UACCCGAUACCUUUGUAUUUGUACCGUCGGUGUUUAUUUAGAAAUAAGUGGAGAGAAGUGGAGAACUUCAGUCAAGUACAAGGAUGCUUGAUGAGUCCUAUAAGGGUUAACAAAAGACACAUGAAAACCUUAACAUUAAUGGGACCUAGGUAUAAGACAAUCCAUGCAACCAAUGGGUUGCCCCCGUAUGAGGCAAUGAAGUGUGUCAGACUAUACCACCUGCCUUUGGUGCAAUAAUACAGACCCCAGUGGUAGAUAUCUAACAUUAAUUUAAAACAGCAAAUAACUACCAACGUACAACGCAUCAUCUCAGGUGGCAUCGCGGUCGGCCCCUUAAAUCUUUCUCUUAUCUUCACACCCAUCCAUUGACUCUUCAUCGGCAAUACUCUUAACACAUUGAAGGGAUUAGCUCCAAGAUCAAGGACAAGGAGGUGGAAGAAAUUAAGGGGAAAACAACUAAAAGAAAGUAUUUCUGAGAACCAAAAUUGUAUCUUAAUCAAUUUAAAGAUUAUGAUGAUAGAUAGUAAGGUAGCAAGACUGAGAUUGCUUUUAUAGGCCAAAGCGCAUUAAGUAUUCCUAACAAAUCACCACAGAAUGACCAAUCAGUAAUAGCCAUGUCUCAUCAGUGGUGAAAGCUAAAAGGUGUGGCCUGAUGACUGAUAGAAAUUGAAGCGCAUAGGACCGCCCUUUCCAAUACCUAUUGAAACUGCAUAAAAACUAAGAACUAUCUUCUCAGGUCUCCUCGCAGUUUGAAUUAAGCUAAAAAAUGACAAAAGAGGAAAAGAAGAGAGGAAGUGAUAAAAGUUUUCUCUUAAUUACAUGACGACAAAAUCCCUGAAGGAAACGUCCAAGGAGCAAUCAAUGAAAAAGUAAAUAUACAAAGAUGGCAUAAGAACGAAGGCCCCCACUAUUCAUUGUAUAUCUUCCCAUUUGAUAGGUCUUCAUUAGAUGCAAACAUAGGGUACCCAAGAUGCACAAAAGCUUGAGCAAAACCAAUUAGGCAUUGUGACUUAAAGAUCUCUUUAUUAAUAUUCAAGCCUCCAUCUUCUCUGUUAUCUUAAAGGUUUGAAUCCUGGCUUUCUAAACAGUGAGAUCCUUGUUUAAGUCAUAUGUGUACCUUUGUCGAUGAAACUUUUGGUUCUUAAAAUUUGUUUUGCUUUUCAAUCGACAAACGUCACAGUGAAGGAAAUUCAAUAGGGACAAGGAGAAAUAAUUUCUAUAUCUCUUGACUCAAGUUUUCAAACACUUUUGGAGAUACAGAACUCUUCAUUGGCAAGGGCCUCAAUAUUGUUUCCUUGGGAGGCUUUAAGCCCCUAAUAAUAAAUGGCCUCUUCAGACAGGCACACAAACUUAUGGUCAUAGUCGCCUAUCUCAUCUUGGUCGCAGAUAAUUCAUCUUUUAGGCUCCUGAUCUCAGAGUAUUGAAGGGCUAGAAAGUUAGCAGUUGCUAAAGAAUCAUAACACAUAGAGAGCUUCUCUAGCAAAUCCUCAACCUCGGCUGAAAGUAUGACCUUCUCUCUUAGAUAAUAUUAAAAAUAGUUGGAGGACAAUAAUGGGCCUGUGAUAUAUGGAAAGUCCACUUAGUAAGGAAGCUUAUAGGAAAGAUGCGAACUUAAAAGGACUCAAAGGGUGCAUAAAUAUGUAAUGCCAUGAACAUUGUUGUUCAGGUGGCAUUGGGGGCCUACCCGAUUAAUCUAAUUCUAAUCACAUUAUACUAAGAUGGGAUAUAGAUAGUUGGCCACUCCCACUGGUGUCAAUAAAAGGUCGACCUUUGAAGAAAUCCUCAAGUUAAUAUCGUUCUACAAAGAAAAAUAUAAGAUAAGGAAAGAAAAAUUACUCGACAAGCCCCGAGGAUCCUCAUACGCUGGAGGCUUCUUUGGCAUAACAUUAUCUAGGGAGUGAAGAGUAAGUAAAAGAAGGAAAUGAUUGAACAGGAGAUCUACUGAUGGGAGGUGAAUGUCCUAAGGAGGGUAUAUCUUCUAGUCCAAUUGAGAUCUACCUGGCCCCAAACUCGACGAUAAACCCACUACAUGAUAGGAACUUGUUAAAAGAGC